rnacentral:rRNA from 1 species
GACGAACGCUGGCGGCGUGCUUAACACAUGCAAGUCGAACGGUGAAGCGCCUUCCUUUUUGGUGGGUGUGGAUGAGUGGCGAACGGGUGAGUAACACGUGAGUAACCUGCCCCCUUCUUCUGGAUAACCGCAUGAAAGUGUGGCUAAUACGGGAUAUUCUGGGUCUGUCGCAUGAUGGGUCUGGGAAAGAUAUUGUUUCGGUGGGGGAUGGGCUCGCGGCCUAUCAGCUUGUUGGUGGGGUGAUGGCCUACCAAGGCGGUGACGGGUAGCCGGCCUGAGAGGGUGGACGGUCACACUGGGACUGAGACACGGCCCAGACUCCUACGGGAGGCAGCAGCGGGGAAUAUUGCACAAUGGGCGCAAGCCUGAUGCAGCGACGCCGCGUGAGGGAUGGAGGCCUUCGGGUUGUGAACCUCUUUCGCCAGUGAAGCAGGCCUGCCUCGUUUGUGGGCGGGUUGACGGUAGCUGGAUAAGAAGCGCCGGCUAACUACGUG